AUGGAGCGCGGGCGGGGCGGGAGGGACGGCCCCUUCGGCGCGGGCGACCCGUUCGCCGGAUUCGGCCGCCUGGGGGGCGCCCCGAUGCCCGGCCUCUUCGGCGGGGGCAGGGACCCCUUCGACGACCCCUUCUUCACGCAGCCCUUCGGGGCCAGGAUGGGCGGCCCCGGCAUGUUCGGCCCCGGCCUGUUCGGCCCGAUGGGCGGCCCCGGCGCGUUCGGGCCUAUGGGGGGCCCGGGCAUGUUCGGCGCGUUCGGGCCCGGGGAUGGGUUCCUCGAGCAAGCUCCUCCGCGAAGCAAUAAUAAUGAUGGAGGGGGGCCUGUCAUCACGGAGAUUGAUGAGGACGAAGAAGGGGGCGAUGGGGACGGGCAGGCGAACCGCGGGGCCUAUGUUCAGGAGCCGGAUGAUGGGAAUGAUGGGAUGCAAGGGGGUCAGGUCCAGAUGAGGCGAGAUCCCAACAGGGCGAAUGGUGGCGGCCAGCCGCACUCGCGUUCGUUCACGUAUCAGAGCUCCACCGUGACUUAUGGUGGGAUUAAUGGAGCCUACUACACGGCUUCGAAUACCCGGAGGAGCGGCAGCGAUGGGAUUACUGUCGAAGAAAGCAAGGAAGCAGAUACUACGACUAAAGAGGCCACUCAUAGGAUCUCCAGAGGAAUUCAUGAUAAGGGACAUUCUGUAACGAGGAAGCUGAAAUCAGACGGGAAGGUGGACAGUACACAGAUACUGCACAAUCUCAAUGAAGAUGAAUUACCUGGAUUUGAAGAAUCAUGGAAGGGCAAUGCGGGACAGCACUUACCAGGCUGGAACCAAAAUGCUGGUAUAUCUAAUGGUGACAACUCUGGUAACCUUGGUGCCAACGGUGCCAGGCAGCCUGCACAGAACUGGGCGCUCCCCGGAAUGCAGCAACAGCGCGAUCCAAGAAUGCAGCAACAGCGCGAUCCAAGGAGGCACGACAACGGGCAGCCAAAGCCAAAGUCAUCGCGGAUCAUCCCAAUCUCCUGA
rnacentral:rRNA from 1 species